rnacentral:lncRNA from 1 species
AUUCCACGUACUAGAAGGCGAGUAGUACAACUUGUACAUGUUAACUCCUAGCAUUCAUAAAUAAUCAAAAACCCUCAAGCUUGACAACUCAACUAGGGGAGUACUUAUGCCCAACAAGAGUUAUAGUCACCAACAAAGUCUUAUUGCAAGCCAACAACAACUUCAGUGCAUGGUAUACGAAGAUCAAGCUAUUCAACCCUCUUGCAUUUGCUUCAGACAUUUCUCCUCUGUAACAAUGCAAACACUACAACUCGUAGAAAGCUUCACACACUCUUGUUUAAGACAGUGUGAAGCAAAACCAAUUUAUGGUGCCAACAAGAGCUUCAUCAAAAGAGUUCAACCACAAUUUUCAAAAGCUUCACACUCUUGAUCAAGAUAGUGUGAAGCAAAACCAAUUUAUAGUGCCAACAAGAGCUUCAUCAAUGGAGGGUAACCACAAUUCUCAAAAGCUUCACACACUCUUGAUCAAGACAGUGUGAAGCAAAACCAAUUUAUGGUGCCAACAAAAGCUUCAUCAAAGGAGUUCAACCAUAAUUCUCAAAAGCUUUACACACUCUUGAUCAAGACAGUGUGAAGCAAAACCAAUUUAUGGUGCCAACAAGAGUUUCAUCAAAAGAGUUCAACCACAAUUC